CAGCACGAACUUCCGCAUGAACUUGCCGACCCGCCGCUCCAUCCGCAGGUACUUGGCGCCCUCCUUCUCCUCCUCGCGCCGCCUCUCGCCGCUGAUGACCAGCACGUUGUCGUCCUCGACCUGGACCUUGAUGUCCCCGGAGCCGAGGCCGGGCAUGUCGACGACGAAGGCGUAGGACCCCGGGAGCUCCUUGACGUCGGCCGGGGUGGCGGCCAUGGCGCGGGCGUCGCGGACGUAGGUGCGGGUGGGGGCGCUGGCGGACUUCUCGGCCUCCUCGGGGACGUCCAUCAGGUGGUGCAGGGUGGCGAAGAGCGGGGACUCGAGGCCGGUGAGGCGGAAAUCCAUCGUCGCGCGUCUGCUGCUCGGUCGGUGAAACUGGAGGAAGGAGAUUGAUUAGGGUUUCGAGAAAUCGAUUCGAAGUGGAGAGCUACUGAUCGGAGUUUGGAUCGAUGAGGAAGGAGGCGGGGAGGGGGGAGUAUUUAUAGGUUGGCGGUUUGGAGAAGUUCGAGAAGAAUCGAGGGGAUGGCGCGGGAGGUUCGAGACGGUUCCAGGUCACUACUGGGAUUCCUUCUAGAAGCCUAGAGAGUACUAGAAAAUUCUGUAGAACAUUCGGUUAUUCGGC
rnacentral:lncRNA from 1 species